rnacentral:rRNA from 1 species
GAUGAACGCUGGCGGCGUGCUUAACACAUGCAAGUCGAGCGAAGCACUAAAGCGGAUUUCUUCGGAUUGAAGGUUUAGUGACUGAGCGGCGGACGGGUGAGUAACGCGUGGGUAACCUGCCUCAUACAGGGGGAUAACAGUUGGAAACGGCUGCUAAUWCCGCAUAAGCGCACAGUACCGCAUGGUACGGUGUGAAAAACUCCGGUGGUAUGAGAUGGACCCGCGUCUGAUUAGGUAGUUGGUGGGGUAACGGCCUACCAAGCCGACGAUCAGUAGCCGACCUGAGAGGGUGACCGGCCACAUUGGGACUGAGACACGGCCCAAACUCCUACGGGAGGCAGCAGUGGGGAAUAUUGCACAAUGGGGGAAACCCUGAUGCAGCGACGCCGCGUGAGCGAAGAAGUAUUUCGGUAUGUAAAGCUCUAUCAGCAGGGAAGAAAAUGACGGUACCUKACUAAWGAGCCCARAWMMYGG